rnacentral:rRNA from 1 species
ACGUCACUCCUACGGGAGGCAGCAGUGGGGAAUAUUGGACAAUGGGCGCAAGCCUGAUCCAGCCAUGCCGCGUGAGUGAUGAAGGCCCUAGGGUUGUAAAGCUCUUUCACCGGAGAAGAUAAUGACGGUAUCCGGAGAAGAAGCCCCGGCUAACUUCGUGCCAGCAGCCGCGGUAAUACGAAGGGGGCUAGCGUUGUUCGGAAUUACUGGGCGUAAAGCGCACGUAGGCGGAUCGAUCAGUCAGGGGUGAAAUCCCAGGGCUCAACCCUGGAACUGCCUUUGAUACUGUCGAUCUGGAGUAUGGAAGAGGUGAGUGGAAUUCCGAGUGUAGAGGUGAAAUUCGUAGAUAUUCGGAGGAACACCAGUGGCGAAGGCGGCUCACUGGUCCAUUACUGACGCUGAGGUGCGAAAGCGUGGGGAGCAAACAGGAUUAGAAACCCCAGUAGUCCCA